rnacentral:snRNA from 1 species
GUGCUUGCUUUGGCAGCACAUACACUAAAGAGAAGAUUAGCCUGGCCCUGUGCAAUGAUGACAUGCAAAUUUGUAAAGGGUUCCAUAUUCUA